rnacentral:rRNA from 1 species
GACGAACGCUGGCGGCGUGCUUAACACAUGCAAGUCGAACGGGGUGUUUAUUUCGGUAAACACCAAGUGGCGAACGGGUGAGUAACGCGUAAGCAAUCUACCUUCAAGAUGGGGACAACACUUCGAAAGGGGUGCUAAUACCGAAUGAAUGUAAGAGUAUCGCAUGAGACACUUACUAAAGGAGGCCUCUGACAUAAGCUUCCGCUUGAAGAUGAGCUUGCGUCUGAUUAGCUAGUUGGUGAGGGUAAAGGCCCACCAAGGCGACGAUCAGUAGCCGGUCUGAGAGGAUGAACGGCCACAUUGGGACUGAGACACGGCCCAGACUCCUACGGGAGGCAGCAGUGGGGAAUCUUCCGCAAUGGGCGAAAGCCUGACGGAGCAACGCCGCGUGAACGAUGAAGGUCUUAGGAUCGUAAAGUUCUGUUGUUAGGGACGAAGGGUAAGGAUCAUAAUAAGGUUUUUAUUUGACGGUACCUAACGAGGAAGCCACGGCUAACUACGUGCCAGCAGCCGCGGUAAUACGUAGGCGGCAAGCGUUGUCCGGAAUUAUUGGGCGUAAAGGGAGCGCAGGCGGGAAACUAAGCGGAUCUUAAAAGUGCGGGGCUCAACCCCGUGAUGGGGUCCGAACUGGUUUUCUUGAGUGCAGGAGAGGAAAGCGGAAUUCCCAGUGUAGCGGUGAAAUGCGUAGAUAUUGGGAAGAACACCAGUGGCGAAGGCGGCUUUCUGGACUGUAACUGACGCUGAGGCUCGAAAGCUAGGGUAGCGAACGGGAUUAGAUACCCCGGUAGUCCUAGCCGUAAACGAUGGAUACUAGGUGUGGGAGGUAUCGACUCCUUCCGUGCCGGAGUUAACGCAAUAAGUAUCCCGCCUGGGGAGUACGGCCGCAAGGUUGCAACUCAAAGGAAUUGACGG